rnacentral:tRNA from 1 species
GCCGAAGUGGCGGAAAUGGCAGACGCGCUGCGUUCAGGGCGCAGUGGCCGUAAGGCCGUCGGGGUUCAACUCCCCGCUUCGGCA